rnacentral:lncRNA from 7 species
GCACUACCCUGCUUACAGGGUGGCCUCGGGGUCCGGCGAGCUCCAUUUCCCACUCAGGUGCGGAGAGGUGGCUCUCGCCCUCCGUUACAGGGGGCCACGCUCCCUAGGCAGGCCAAAGGAGCAGCAAGGCAAAAGGCCAACUACAGCAAAGACCCGAGCCCCGCUUACGGGGAGGUCGCCCAGCACAACGCCAGCCUGGUCACCAAAGGCGCCGGCAGCUCUCAACUCAAACGUGACUGUGCCCCGCUAACGGGACAGGUGCUUUGCCCAGGGAGCCUCUCUCCUUCCCCCCCGCAUCUGCACGCUUCCGCUUCCUCUUCUUGCUUGCUCCUGCCUCCCAGGUCCCCACGCCGCUUCUUCUCUUCCUUCUGCAGCAGCUCCUGAAACAUCAGCGGGGACACCGUUAGACCUGCAGGGUGGCAAGCCCCCCCACCUGAAGGUAAAGGCAAACACAGCAUCGCUAAGGAACUCGGCACGCACCACCCAGCCAUGGAAGGCCUUGCAUCCCACCCCCCCCCCCCCCCCAAGUCGUCCCCACAAAAACCACUUCGAGCAGCGUUUCUCACCUCACUGACACGCGGCGGACUUCCAGCCAGUGCUGCGGGCUUCCGCUUCCUCUUCUUGCUUGCUCCUGCCUCCCAGGUCCCCACGCCGCUUCUUCUUCUUCCUUCUGCAGCAGCUCCUGAAACAUCAGCGGGGACACCGUUAGACCUGCAGGGUGGCAAGCCCCCCCACCUGAAGGUAAAGGCAAACACAGCAUCGCUAAGGAACUCGGCACGCAACCACCCAGCCAUGGAAGGCCUUGCAUCCCACCCCCCCCCCCCCCCCAAGUCGUCCCCGCAAAAACCACUUCGAGC